rnacentral:rRNA from 1 species
UACAGAGGUCUCAAGCGUUGUUCGGAUUCAUUGGGCGUAAAGGGUGCGUAGGUGGCGGGGUAAGUCAGGUGUGAAAUCUCGGAGCUCAACUCCGAAACUGCACUUGAUACUGCCUUGCUUGAGUACUGGAGAGGAGAUUGGAAUUUACGGUGUAGCAGUGAAAUGCGUAGAUAUCGAGAGGAACACCUGCGGCGAAGGCGGGUAGCUGGGCCGACACUGACGUGAGGCGCGAAAGCGUGGGUAGCAAACAGG